AAUGACAAGUGCGCGCGCGUCGAGUCCGAACACGUUUGACCGACUCGCUUACAACUCGGAAUACUUAAAAGUUGGUAGUUUCUGUAACGCGUAAACGGGAAGGAGUGUAAUGAUUCCCAAAGAGAUAUGCUGUACGUUUAAAUGAACGAAAACGCGUGAAGAGUGUCCCACUAUUUCAAGCAAAUCGCGCUCGUUUUCGACCUCGAAGCAGGCUUCCCGUUCGGAGAAGCGAGCGAGCGAGCGAGAGAACUCGAACCUUUGCGAAAAAAAUGGAAUAUCGAUACGUGCUGCAGCAGAAAUUGGGGGAUUCGCUGAACAAUUGGAGACAUUCGAGACUGCGAUACCCCGCUCGUUACCGACGUCGAAAAAAUGCUGUGCAACAACGACAACUGCACUCGUAGACCCAUCAAUAAUGGAUUUAUAUUGAAAAUAUACGCCUCUCGGGGGAUCGGGUUAGACAAGGACAAUGAUAUGGCAUUUAAAUUGGAUUAUGCGAUACAUACUUAAAGUGGUGAAGCAGACAAUGGCCGGAGCUACCGAGAUCACUGAACCGCGCGCCGCCUUCGACCCAUCAAUCACCGGCCGGAGAAUUUUCGCCUUUCAUUUAAAUGGCAUUAACAAGUCUGAAGUGGUAUUACUCACCUUUACACUUAACACCGACUUUUCCGACGCCCCAAAUAUAAUCCUCACCUGUAAAAUUCAA